CAAACUGAUUAGAGCUGUAUUAAAUUACAGAUUGGAAGGAGGGAGCUUCUAGGAACAAGGCAGCCUUGCAGACAACAGGAACUAUUAAGAACAUCUGCACAACACAGAAGCAUCUUUACAUAAGCAGCAGGAAUUGGCAUUUCAGUUGUCAGGUAGCAGAUGAAGGAAUCACAGUCUGAACCACAGGGACAACCUGCACUUCAUGCCUUCCAGCUACUGACACGGAAUUCAACCAAUUCAAUUCUUACAUAUCUGCCAAGAGCAUUCAAGAGAGGAAAUCACACUAGAAUGGCAUCUGGC